rnacentral:rRNA from 1 species
AACGAACGCUGGCGGCAUGCCUAACACAUGCAAGUCGAACGAGACCUUCGGGUCUAGUGGCGCACGGGUGCGUAACGCGUGGGAACCUGCCCUUAGGUUCGGAAUAACUCCCCGAAAGGGGUGCUAAUACCGGAUAAUGUCUUCGGACCAAAGAUUUAUCGCCUUUGGAUGGGCCCGCGUUGGAUUAGCUAGUUGGUAGGGUAAAAGCCUACCAAGGCGACGAUCCAUAGCUGGUCUGAGAGGAUGAUCAGCCACUCUGGGACUGAGACACGGCCCAGACUCCUACGGGAGGCAGCAGUGGGGAAUAGAGGACCACCGGCGAAAGCCUGAUGCAGCAAUGCCGCGUGAGUGAUGAAGUCCUUAGGGUUGUAAAGCUCUUUUACCCGGGAUGAUAAUGACAGUACCGGGAGAAUAAGCCCCGGCUAACUCCGUG